UACGAAGGGGGCUAGCGUUGCUCGGAAUCACUGGGCGUAAAGCGCACGUAGGCGGCUUCUUAAGUCAGGGGUGAAAUCCUGGAGCUCAACUCCAGAACUGCCUUUGAUACUGAGGAGCUCGAGUCCGGGAGAGGUGAGUGGAACUCCGAGUGUAGAGGUGAAAUUCGUAGAUAUUCGGAAGAACACCAGUGGCGAAGGCGGCUCACUGGCCCGGUACUGACGCUGAGGUGCGAAAGCGUGGGGAGCAAGCAGG
rnacentral:rRNA from 1 species